UGAAUCAUAUCAAAACAAAAUCCAGAAAUCGUCUUGAAGUGACACAUUUGGACCAGCUGAUGCGCAUAAAGUCAAAGCAAGAAGCAGACGAAGCCAUCAACCUGGACAAAGUGUACAACCAUUGGAGAAGUGAGAAGGACAGACGUGAAAAAUAAGAACAGGACCCUCAGCCAGGCAAAGCAGGACUCUUCCCAUGGCCAAAGCAGGACUCUCACAUACUGUAUAACAUCUACACAUCCCAUUUUUCAGAUUUUUGUCUUUUUUUAAGUGGACCAAAUUACUUAUUUAAAAAUAAAGCGUGCAUAUCUAAUGUUGCUCACAGUAGUCCUCAGUUUGCUCAGGGAGCUUGUGUGUAUGCCCAGAUACAUGAAAAAUUAGAGGGAACAUUGGUGACAACCCACAUU